GACGAACGCUGGCGGCGUGCUUAACACAUGCAAGUCGAACGGAAAGGACCUGCUUUUGUGUGGUGCUCGAGUGGCGAACGGGUGAGUAACACGUGAGUAACCUGCCCUUGACUUUGGGAUAACUUCAGGAAACUGGGGCUAAUACCGGGUAGGAGCUCCUGCUGCAUGGUGGGGGUUGGAAAGUUUCGGCGGUGGGGGAUGGACUCGCGGCUUAUCAGCUUGUUGGUGGGGUAGUGGCUUACCAAGGCUUUGACGGGUAGCCGGCCUGAGCGGGUGACCGGCCACAUUGGGCCUGUGGUACGGCCCCGGCUCCUACGGGAGGCAGCAGUGGAGUUGGUUACACAAUGGGCGGAAGCCUGCUGCCGCAACGCCGCGUCCGGGGUGACGGCCUUCGUGUUGUAAUCCACUUUCGCCUGUGACGAAGCGUGAGUGACGGUAAUGGAUAAAGAAGCCCCGGCUAACUACGUG
rnacentral:rRNA from 1 species